rnacentral:rRNA from 1 species
GAUCAGACACACUGGAACUGAGACACGGUCCAGACUCCUACGGGAGGCAGCAGUGGGGAAUUUUCCGCAAUGGGCGAAAGCCUGACGGAGCAAUACCGCGUGAGGGAAGACUGCCUAUGGGUUGUAAACCUCUUUUUUCAGGGAGGAAUUAAUGACGUGUACCUGAAGAAUAAGCAUCGGCUAACUCCGUGCCAGCAGCCGCGGUAAGACGGAGGAUGCAAGUGUUAUCCGGAAU